AAAUGGACAAAGGAAGGGGGAUUCAAACCUGAUCCAUUCAUAUCAACUGUUCUUGCACAUACUAUAGAUGAAAUAAACGGGACGACUGAAAAGAAAGUAUCUUUGAUUCUGGAAGAUCCUAUCUAUAUAGACUAUGACCUCCAGUACAACUGUCAGGUUAACUGUGGUAAUGAAGUAUCAAGGAAUUCAACAAUUGAAUUAAAAGCACUAAGACCAAAAUGGACACAUUCUGAAUACGAAAAACAUGCAACAUUGGGAACGGAUGUUACUUUUCUGUGGGAAUACAAAUAUCCAUAUGAAGCAAUUGCUGUUUUUAUAAGACGGGAAAGGAAAAAUGAAAAGGUCGAAGUAGGAUAUUGGUACCAGGGUGAAUUUACUGACACGGAUCAAUUUAUCAAAAGAGUAACAGUCAAAAAGACACCAAAUGAAAAUAAAAUUGGUGAAAAGAUCAGUCUAACCUUACAAAAUGUGACAGUGGAAGAUUUUGGAUGGGAGUAUGUCUGUCAACUAACACUGGGUGAUGGAGAGCAGCUAUUAACAACAACAAAACUGAAAGAACGAGACGUGCAAGCGAAUGCUGUACCGCCUUCCAUAUAUAGAACAGAUUCAAAAACAUCCACAGCUACAAAUCACUUGUUGGUGACGUACAAUAAUACUACUUGUUAUUGUCACUAGUUUCAUGAUACAGAGGUGAUGUCUUAACAUCACCAUUGUUGGUUCACUACUGAUGGUUUUGUGCCCCCCUCCCCCGGGGGACUAAUAAAAUGGGUCUGUCUGUCCGUCACACCAUUUGGGACACAAUAACGUUGUGUUGGUGUUUUAGAUGAAUUCCUUGAUGGAGGGUUUGAUUCUCGGGGUGAAAAUGUUUAUUGGGUGAAUGCCAUCGCAGGGUUUGAUCAUGCACAUUUUCCACUUAGGCUUAACAGAGGAACACGAUGACUUUGGUUCUGAUUGUGUGAGGAAUACCUUCAGUAAGUUCGAUAAUGAGAAUUGUCUGCUUAGGCUAAGUAGCGAUAAGCAAUGUGAUUGGUCAAGACUCUUGAACAUAAAAAUUCUCCUUUUAAUUGGGGUAGAAUUUUGAACUUGAUGUAUAUGUUCAUUAGCUGAAUGUCUUGACAGAGUUCAGUGAUUAACAUUGAUGUAGAUGUUCAUCAGGUGACUAAAUCCAAUGGUAAACAUUUUCCGCUAAAGCUAAGCAGAGCUAUGCAAUUUCAUUGGUUGAUGCUUUGGGACAAGAUGAUUUUGAUUCUAACUGAUGGAGAGUGAUGAAACUUAGUGCACUUCAAAACCUUGACUGAGUUUGAUCGUGAACAUUUUAUGCUUAGACUAAGUAUGGAAAAUCAGUUUGAUUACGCGAUACUUUUGAAAAAGAUAAAUUAUGCAAUUAAUGUGUCGUCUAUGUAUUUUCGAAUUUUGGCGGAGGACAUCAGCCUCGCUGUUUGUUACAAGCCCAAUAGUGGCUAAAAUGUGUAUUUCUAUAAAGGUUAAACUCGAUGGUAAACAGAAUAAUCUGGGGUCGGUCAUACACCAAAACAUUAUGGGUCAUCCUUGGGGUAUAAGGAACAAGUAUGCAAAGUUUCUAGCCGACCAGUUAAGAAUUGCGGACUGUAGGCGACACACAGACAAACUUUUGCUAGCAGUGUUGCAAGGCCUGAGUGCCUGUCAGGAAGAAUUUUUCUUCAGUCAUUCUAAAAAUGUCGUUCACAGCUGACAUGACGUUAACAUUACUAAGAAAAUAGCAACGGGGUACUUCCAUUUUCAUUGAUGGAAUCCAUGGUUAUAAACCUGGCCAAAACAUCAGGAUCUGCUUCAGAACGGCACAGAUUGUCACGGAACGUCAGGAAGUUAAGAAAUACCAACAAGACUAGCAAUAUGUCGAGUGGCUAACCUGUAGACGGUCCACAAACAAAUUGACGUUAUUGUGGAUAUCAGGGCCGGGGAGAAAACAAUAUACGUCAAGUUGAAAAUGUUGGCAUAUAAUAAUAUAUCUUUGUAUAAGUAUCAAUGAAGAGAAAGACUCAAAGGCGCAUUAUGGAAGAUUAGAUAAAAAGCUGACAAAUCUAGCUGUAAUAGUUAAAACUAGAUAACGUAAAGGGAAUAUGCUGAAAAUUUCAGUCUAAUUGCUUCUCUCUGAACCGGGAUAUUAGCGACUGAAUUUUAGGCCUUACCUCGAUAAUCAUCACUAAAGUCGGUACGAUAAAAACAUACGAUUACCCAUUUUCGUAUUUAUUCAUUAAUGAGCGCUCAGUAGCAGAUCGGAUUAAAAUCCAGUGAAAAUCCGACACAUCUUAAUAAAUGUCUAAUUAAUAAUUUAUGUAACAUUUCCGGCAAAAGAAAGACCUGUAAUAGACAAGAGUUAGCUCUUGCAUAAUGUAUGUUUAAAUUGUGCUCAUUUUGUGAAGAAGGGAAUUGUCAUUUACUACGGUACGGUUUAGGAACUAACGGGUGGGGGCUUAAAUGUUAUAUGAAUUAUUAAUUAGACAUUUAUUAAAAUAACAAGACCAUAAGUAGAUUUUAAGUAGAUCAUAACGGUGAUUUAAUUCAAAAAAGGGAGAAGCCAGACUAAGACUCGGAUGACCAGUACGGUGGUUAAGAUCAAUGCGCACACCUUAUCAAAACUACCACCAUUAAUAACUUCUUUCAAAAUAAACAAUUUAAAGGAAAUUGUCAAUAUAUUCAUUUUGAAUUAUCUAUCAUUGAAAUGUCCUCUCGAGAUCGACCAUAAUGCCUCUUUAAUAAAUACUGUAGGAUCGAUUUUACAUAUUAUGCAUGUCACCAUGUAUAGAUAAAAAAUUGUUUAUAAAACCACCAGUGGAGGACUGACGUUGUAGGUCCCAAGUCCUAGUAAAGAUAGAGGGAGACAAUACAUGUAUAUAUUUUAUAUAAUUAGAUAUUUUAAAACAUAUGUUUACUCAUUAAGACUAGAUAAUUUUUAAUGUGAUAUUUUAUAUAAUCAAUAAAUAUAUUAUAAAACAUCUAUUCACUCAUUGAAACUUGAUAAAUGUUUUUACGUAUUAUUUUAA